rnacentral:rRNA from 1 species
AAAUUGAAGAGUUUGAUCAUGGCUCAGAUUGAACGCUGGCGGCAGGCCUAACACAUGCAAGUCGAGCGGAAACGAGUUAUCAGAACCUUCGGGGGACGAUAGCGGCGUCGAGCGGCGGACGGGUGAGUAAUGCCUAGGAAAUUGCCCUGAUGUGGGGGAUAACCAUUGGAAACGAUGGCUAAUACCGCAUGAUGCCUACGGGCCAAAGAGGGGGACCUUCGGGCCUCUCGCGUCAGGAUAUGCCUAGGUGGGAUUAGCUAGUUGGUGAGGUAAGGGCUCACCAAGGCGACGAUCCCUAGCUGGUCUGAGAGGAUGAUCAGCCACACUGGAACUGAGACACGGUCCAGACUCCUACGGGAGGCAGCAGUGGGGAAUAUUGCACAAUGGGCGCAAGCCUGAUGCAGCCAUGCCGCGUGUGUGAAGAAGGCCUUCGGGUUGUAAAGCACUUUCAGUCGUGAGGAAGGUAGUGUAGUUAAUAGCUGCAUUAUUUGACGUUAGCGACAGAAGAAGCACCGGCUAACUCCGUGCCAGCAGCC